ensembl:lncRNA
ACUCAGAGCCCGGCCGAGCCCCGGCGCUCCGACCUUACGGCGAGCGGAAAACGCAUUGCUGCCUUCCGAGCCCAAGAGCCCCCUCCCCAGAGCAGCAUCACGAUCAGUGUUGGCUGGAGUGGAGGGCAGGAGAACUGCUGGAACCCCAGCUCCAAGCCUGUCUUGGUUCGAGCCAGGCUCGCAAUCAGUUCACAGCCAGCGAGAGGUCCUGGAUGGAGGACAGAGCCUGACAGUGCUGCUCUGCAGGACAGGGACCACCUGGACCAUGGGGAGGGUAUGGACCAUAGGCAGGAUAUGGACCACUGGCAGGGCACAGGCCUGCUUUGUGCUGACUUCAACUGUGCAUACAUGGGUGAGUGUAGAGGUUCUGAUCCAGUCAGUCCAGACAGUGGCUGGAACAGGUUGCAAAUGAUCACCUUGAACCUCUUGGCUUUGCCUGUCACAAUCAUUUGGAGCAGAGCAAACAGGGGCAGAUGGAUGUGUAAGGCUGCAGGGAUGGUUGAGGACUGCUGUACAGCACAUCUUGGCCCUACCACAGGGCACAGCCAUCAAGCUUCAAAAGCUGGAAUCCCAAACUGAGAUCUCAUGGAGUAAGGCUGGAAGGGAUGAGUGGGUGCUGUAGACCUGGGUGGAAAUACAGGAAAAAUGUUUGUCUUCAUCUCAUAUUACCAACAUGUGGGUAAGGCCCAAAGACCAGAAACAAAAUGCAAGACUUUGCAAUUCUGCCUAAAGCUUUCUAUGAGCCUGUUGUGUCUUUCUUCGUAGAGAGAGGUCUGGAAAUAAAGCUAAAUUCAUGAGAACUUUAUAACUGGAGCCAGGGAAGAAGAGCAGUCAGCCAGCCUGGGUCUGACCAGGCUACUCCGAGUGCUCCCAGUUUGGGAACUGGGUUUUGGAAAGGGAAGAUUGGCCAUGGAGGCUACAGUUUCCUUUUUAAUUUUUUUUUCCCCUCUCCCCCCCCCCCCCCCCCCCCCUUUUUUUUUCCCUGGUUGUUUUGCAAGCCCUGAAAGGAAUAGACUCAAUGUUAUUCUAACUUUAAAUGGAGGGAAGAGGGGGAGGCGAUGAGAGCGGAGAAGGAAAAUCCAUUUGCUGCAGUACUGUCAGCCCCUUAGUUUUCCUUCAAGUCUGACAGGCCCAGGAUUAAAGGUUUGGUUACAAUGGCCUGACAGUACACAUUAACAGCCCUGAAUGUCUUAACAACCCGGCUACUGGAGAUGCAUUCAGACGAGUCUGUGAACUGCUUUUCCCCUUUAAAGCUCCUGCUAGACCAUGUUGUCCAGUGAAAUCUUUUGUGGUAUAAAUGUAUAGACUUUUCUUUCUUAUUCCUAAGCAUGUACGUACACAACCCUAAAAUUCGUUGCUGUCUUCCCUGUGGGUUUUAUGCCUAAUUCUCCUCUAACCACCCUACUUGUGAAAAGUGUCCUGCUCUGACAGCAUGAGGAAUUCGUGUCUCCCCUCCUUUGGUUUAGCUGGACUUACCCACUGUAAAUGAGCAGGACCUCACCAGCCUGGGUGGGGUUAUGCAGAUCCAUUCCAGCCCAGGAGGUGGACAUGCAAUGUAAGUUUUGUUGGCUUUUUCCUUUGGGAAAAUAAUAAUAAUAAUAAUAAAAUAAAAAAAGCAAAAGGAGCCUCUG